rnacentral:rRNA from 1 species
UACGUAGGGUGCGAGCGUUAAUCGGAAUUACUGGGCGUAAAGCGUGCGCAGGCGGCUUUGCAAGACAGAUGUGAAAUCCCCGGGCUCAACCUGGGAACUGCAUUUGUGACUGCAAGGCUAGAGUACGGCAGAGGGGGAUGGAAUUCCGCGUGUAGCAGUGAAAUGCGUAGAUAUGCGGAGGAACACCAAUGGAGAAGGCAAUCCCCUGGGCCUGUACUGACGCUCAUGCACGAAAGCGUGGGGAGCAAACAGG